AACGAACGCUGGCGGCAGGCCUAACACAUGCAAGUCGAACGCCCUAGCAAUAGGGAGUGGCAGACGGGUGAGUAACACGUGGGAACCUUCCCUAUAGUACGGAAUAUACCAGGGAAACUUGGAGCAAUACCGUAUACGCCCGAGAGGGGAAAGAUUUAUCGCUAUAGGAUGGGCCCGCGUAGGAUUAGCUAGUUGGUGAGGUAAUGGCUCACCAAGGCGACGAUCCUUAGCUGGUUUGAGAGAACGACCAGCCACACUGGGACUGAGACACGGCCCAGACUCCUACGGGAGGCAGCAGUGGGGAACAUUGGACAAUGGGCGCAAGCCUGAUCCAGCCAUGCCGCGUGAGUGAUGAAGGCCUUAGGGUUGUAAAGCUCUUUUGCCGGGGACGAUAAUGACGGUACCCGGAGAAUAAGUCCCGGCUAACUUCGUGCCAGCCGCCGCCGUAAG
rnacentral:rRNA from 1 species